GCCGUUGUAGCUCAAUUGGUAGAGCAACUGACUUGUAAUCAGUAGGUUGGGGGGUUCAAGUCCUCUCGACGGCACCA
rnacentral:tRNA from 1 species